rnacentral:rRNA from 1 species
UACGUAGGGAGUGAGCGUUGUCCGGAUUUACUGGGUGUAAAGGGUGCGUAGGCGGGUAAGCAAGUCAGAAGUGAAAUCCAUGGGCUUAACCCAUGAACUGCUUUUGAAACUGUUUAUCUUGAGUGAAGUAGAGGUAGGCGGAAUUCCCGGUGUAGCGGUGAAAUGCGUAGAGAUCGGGAGGAACACCAGUGGCGAAGGCGGCCUGCUGGACAGAAACUGACGUUGAGGCUCGAAAGCGUGGGGAGCAAACAGG